AGGGUGCAGGGCGAAUGCCUUGGCACUAGGAGCCGAUGAAGGACGUGAUAAGCUGCGAUAAGCUUCGGGGAGUUGCACGUAAACUUUGAUCCGAAGAUUUCCGAAUGAGGAAACUCACUUAGAGUAAUGUCUAAGUAUCGUAUGAUGAAUACAUAGUCAUACGAGGGGAACCCGGAGAACUGAAACAUCUAAGUACCCGGAGGAAGAGAAAGAAAUUCGAUUCCGUAAGUAGCGGCGAGCGAACGCGGAACAGGCCAAACCAGUGAAGUUUUCUUCGUUGGGGUUGCGGACACACUAUAAACGAAAUCACCCACUAUAGAAGAAGAGAGUUGGAAAGCUCCGCCAUAGAUGGUAACAGCCCAGUAUUUUAAAUAGCGAGACUUCAAGUGUGAUCCAGAGUACCACGGGACACGUGAAACCCUGUGGGAAGCAGGAGGGACCAUCCUCCAAGCCUAAAUACUACCUAGUGACCGAUAGCGUAUAGUACCGUGAGGGAAAGGUGAAAAGAACCCCGGGAGGGGAGUGAAAGAGAACCUGAAACCCUGCACUUACAAGCUGUAGGAGCACAUUAUUUGUGUGACUGCGUACUUUUUGUAGAACGGGCCAACGAGUUACGUUGUGUAGCAAGGUUAAGCACUUAAGGUGUGGAGCCGUAGCGAAAGCGAGUCUUAAAUGGGCGUCCAGUUACCCGACGUAGACCCGAAACCAGGCGACCUAUCCAUGAGCAGGUUGAAGCGAAAGUAAAAUUUCGUGGAGGACCGAACCCACGUACGUUGAAAAGUGCGGGGAUGACUUGUGGAUAGCGGUGAAAUUCCAAUCGAGCCUGGAGAUAGCUGGUUCUCCCCGAAAUAGCUUUAGGGCUAGCCUCAAGCUUAGAGAAACGGAGGUAGAGCACUGAAUGUCCUAGGGGGUAUUGCACUUACCGAAGACUAUCAAACUCCGAAUGCCGUAUUCUUUUGCUUGGGAGUCAGACUAUGGGUGAUAAGAUUCAUAGUCAAGAGGGCAACAGCCCAGAUCGUCAGCUAAGGUCCCUAAAUGUAAGUUAAGUGGUAAAGGAUGUGGAAUUGCACAGACAACCAGGAUGUUGGCUUAGAAGCAGCCACUCAUUUAAAGAGUGCGUAAUAGCUCACUGGUCGAGUGAUUCUGCGCCGAAAAUUUCCGGGGCUAAAACUUACUACCGAAGCUACGGCAUCAUUAUGAUGGGUAGGGGAGCUUUCUAUGCGGCUUGAAGCAUGACCGUAAGGACAUGUGGACUGCAUAGAAGUGAGAAUGUUGGCAUGAGUAGCGAGAUGUGGGUGAGAAUCCCACAGGCCGUAAACCCAAGGUUUCCAGGGGAAGGUUCGUCCGCCCUGGGUUAGUCGGGACCUAAGCCGAGGCCGAAAGGCGUAGGCGAUGGACAACAGGUUGAUAUUCCUGUACCACCAAUAACCGUUUGAGAAAUGGGAUGACACAGUAGGAUAAGCUAACCGCACUGUUGGUUAUGUGCGGGCAAGUAUUGAGGCAGUUCCGAUAGGCAAAUCCGUCGGAAUAAUGCUGGGGUACGAUGCGGAGCGAAAUUUAGUAGCGAAGUAGCUGAUUUCACACUGUCGAGAAAAGUCUCUAUCGAGGUUAAAGGUGCCUGUACCGCAAACCGACACAGGUGGGUGAGGAGAGUAUCCUAAGGCCAGCGAGAGAACUGUUGUUAAGGAACUCGGCAAAAUGACCCCGUAACUUAGGGAGAAGGGGUGCCUUCGAAAGAAGGCCGCAGAGAAUAGGCCCAAGCGACUGUUUACCAAAAACAUAGGUUUCUGCUAAGUCGCAAGACGAUGUAUAGGAGCUGACGCCUGCCCGGUGCUGGAAGGUUAAGGGGAUCUGUUAGAGCAAUCGAAGCAGUGAACUUAAGCCCCAGUAAACGGCGGCCGUAACUAUAACGGUCCUAAGGUAGCGAAAUUCCUUGUCGGGUAAGUUCCGACCCGCACGAAAGGCGUAACGAUUUGGGCACUGUCUCAACAAUGCACCCGGUGAAAUUGAAAUACCAGUGAAGAUGCUGGUUACCUGCGACAGGGCGGAAAGACCCCAUGGAGAUUUACUGUAGCUUG
rnacentral:rRNA from 1 species